GAGACGGGUAGGUUUAGGGGUGGAAAUGUGGUCCAGCGGGUGGAGACGGGUAGGUUUAGCGGUGGAGAUGGAAUCCAGGGGCUGGAGAUGGGUAGGUUUAGGGGUGGAGAUGUGAUCCAGGGGGUGGAGACGGGUAGGUUUAGGGGUGGAAAUGUGGUCCAGCGGGUGGAGACGGGUAGGUUUAGCGGUGGAGAUGAGAUCCAGGGGGUGGAGACAGGUAGGUUUAGGGGUGGAGAUGAGAUCCAGGGGGUGGAGACGGGUAGGUUUAGCGGUGGAGAUGAGAUCCAGCGGGUGGAGAAGGCUAGGUUUAGGGAUAUGUAAAGUGGGAGGAGUUGGAUCUCGAGUUGGAGUUGGUGCACCACAGUAAUACCGGUGUACUUACAUGGUAACUCCUCAGGAACUGUCCACUUAAUAUAAAGUGUAACAUUCUGGACACCAACCACAAUUUAUAUGUAAAGCCUAACUUACUGGCUGCUGCUGUGUAACAUCAGAGUAAUUACAUGAUAGAUCUAAUAUAAAGUGUAACACUUUCUUUACCAAAAAGUCCGGUUAGUCCUGUUACAC
ensembl:lncRNA